rnacentral:tRNA from 1 species
AGACAAGGUGCCGGAGAGGUUAACGGGUUCGCCUCGAAUCAUCGACACUGGUUCCCAGUGGCAAGCGAAUGGGCUCUGCCCGCACAGGUUCGAAUCCUGUUCUUGUCG